rnacentral:rRNA from 1 species
GGAGAGGGAGCCUGAGAAACGGCUACCACAUCUAAGGAAGGCAGCAGGCGCGCAAAUUACCCAAUCCUAAUACAGGGAGGUAGUGACAAGAAAUAACAAUACAGGACUUUUUGGUUUUGUAAUUGGAAUGAGUUAAGUAUAAACCCCUUUACAAGUAUCAAUUGGAGGGCAAGUCUGGUGCCAGCAGCCGCGGUAAUUCCAGCUCCAAUAGCGUAUAUUAAAGUUGUUGCAGUUAAAAAGCUCGUAGUUGGAUUUCUGUUAAUAAUUUAUAUAUAAUAUUUGAUUAAUAUUUAUAUAAUAUUAACAUAAUUCAUAUUACUAAAUUUAUUAGUAUAUGAAAUUUUACUUUGAGAAAAUUAGAGUGCUUAAAGCAGGCAUAUGCCUUGAAUACUCCAGCAUGGAAUAAUAUUAAAGAUUUUUAUCUUUCUUAUUGGUUCUAAGAUAAAAAUAAUGAUUAAUAGGGACAGUUGGGGGCAUUUGUAUUUAACAGUCAGAGGUGAAAUUCUUAGAUUUGUUAAAG